AAAUUGAAGAGUUUGAUCAUGGCUCAGAUUGAACGCUGGCGGCAGGCCUAACACAUGCAAGUCGAACGGUAGCACAGAGAGCUUGCUCUCGGGUGACGAGUGGCGGACGGGUGAGUAAUGUCUGGGAAACUGCCUGAUGGAGGGGGAUAACUACUG
rnacentral:rRNA from 4 species